rnacentral:rRNA from 1 species
AACGAACGCUGGCGGCAGGCUUAACACAUGCAAGUCGAGCGCCCCGCAAGGGGAGCGGCAGACGGGUGAGUAACGCGUGGGAAUCUACCGUACCCUACGGAAUAACGCAUGGAAACGUGUGCUAAUACCGUAUACGCCCUUAGGGGGAAAGAUUUAUCGGGGUAUGAUGAGCCCGCGUUGGAUUAGCUAGUUGGUGGGGUAAAGGCCUACCAAGGCGACGAUCCAUAGCUGGUCUGAGAGGAUGAUCAGCCACAUUGGGACUGAGACACGGCCCAAACUCCUACGGGAGGCAGCAGUGGGGAAUAUUGGACGAUGGGCGCAAGCCUGAUCCAGCCAUGCCGCGUUAGUGAUGAAGGCCUUAGGGUUGUAAAGCUCUUUCACCGGUGAAGAUAAAGACGGUAACCGGAGAAGAAGCCCCGGCUAACUUCGUGCCAGCAGCCGCCGUAACAC